AACGAACGCUGGCGGCAUGCCUAACACAUGCAAGUCGAACGAGACCUUCGGGUCUAGUGGCGCACGGGUGCGUAACGCGUGGGAAUCUACCCUUGGGUUCGGAAUAACAGUUAGAAAUGACUGCUAAUACCGGAUGAUGACGUAAGUCCAAAGAUUUAUCGCCCAAGGAUGAGCCCGCGUAAGAUUAGCUUGUUGGUGGGGUAAUGGCCUACCAAGGCGACGAUCUUUAGCUGGUCUGAGAGGAUGAUCAGCCACACUGGGACUGAGACACGGCCCAGACUCCUACGGGAGGCAGCAGUGGGGAAUAUUGGACAAUGGGCGAAAGCCUGAUCCAGCAAAGCCGCGUGAGUGAUGAAGGCCUUAGGGUUGUAAAGCUCUUUUACCAGGGAUGAUAAUGACAGUACCUGGAGAAUAAGCUCCGGCUAACUCCGUGCCAGCAGCCGCCGCCG
rnacentral:rRNA from 1 species